rnacentral:rRNA from 1 species
UACAGAGGGGGCAAGCGUUGUUCGGAAUUACUGGGCGUAAAGGGCGCGUAGGCGGCCCGCUAAGUCGAACGUGAAAUCCCCGAGCUCAACUCGGGAACUGCGUCCGAUACUGGCGGGCUUGAAUCCGGGAGAGGGAUGCGGAAUUCCAGGUGUAGCGGUGAAAUGCGUAGAUAUCUGGAGGAAUACCGGUGGCGAAGGCAGCAUCCUGGACCGAGAUUGACACUGAUGAGCGAAAGCCAGGGGAGCAAACGGG